UACGUAGGGUGCGAGCGUUAAUCGGAAUUACUGGGCGUAAAGCGUGCGCAGGCGGUUUUGUAAGCCAGAUGUGAAAUCCCCGGGCUUAACCUGGGAACGGCAUUUGGGACUGCAAGGCUGGAGUUUGGCAGAGGAGACUGGAAUUCCUGGUGUAGCAGUGAAAUGCGUAGAUAUCAGGAGGAAUACCGAUGGCGAAGGCAGGUCUCUGGGCUGAAACUGACGCUCAUGCACGAAAGCGUGGGGAGCAAACAGG
rnacentral:rRNA from 1 species